rnacentral:tRNA from 1 species
CUGUGUGUGAUAAGUGGGGCGCCUGCUUUGGGAGCAGGAGGUCCCCGGUUCAAAUCCGGGCGCCCCGA